GUCUGGUCCUGCUGCAGUGGUGUUCACAAAUAAUUGAUCACAACCAGUUACAGAUUUCUUUGUUCCUUUUCCACUCCUACUGCUUCACUUGACUAGCCCUAA
rnacentral:Y_RNA from 1 species